rnacentral:tRNA from 1 species
GGUGGCUCAGUGGUAGAGUGCUUGCCUUGCAUGCAUGAGGACCUGGGUUCAAUUCCUCAGUACCA